GUGCCAGCAGCCGCGGUAAUACGUAGGGUGCGAGCGUUGUCCGGAUUUAUUGGGCGUAAAGGGCUCGUAGGUGGUUGAUCGCGUCGGAAGUGUAAUCUUGGGGCUUAACCCUGAGCGUGCUUUCGAUACGGGUUGACUUGAGGAAGGUAGGGGAGAAUGGAAUUCCUGGUGGAGCGGUGGAAUGCGCAGAUAUCAGGAGGAACACCAGUGGCGAAGGCGGUUCUCUGGGCCUUUCCUGACGCUGAGGAGCGAAAGCGUGGGGAGCGAACAGGCUUAGAUACCCUGGUAGUCCACGCUGUAAACGGUGGGUACUAGGUGUGGGGUCCAUUCCACGGGUUCCGUGCCGUAGCUAACGCUUUAAGUACCCCGCCUGGGGAGUACGGCCGCAAGGCUAAAACUCAAAGGAAUUGGCGG
rnacentral:rRNA from 1 species